rnacentral:rRNA from 1 species
UCAGACGAUGCGUCAUGCAUAUCAAUAAGCGGAGGAAAAGAAACUAACAAGGAUUCCCCUAGUAACGGCGAGUGAAGCGGGAAGAGCUCAAAUUUGAAAUCUUAAAGGGUUUCCCUUUACGAAUUGUAGUUUAAAGAAGUGUUUUCUGUUGAGGUUUUGGUAAAAGUUCUUUGGAAUAGGACAUCAUAGAGGGUGAGAAUCCCGUAUUUGACCUUUACUUUCAACUUUGUGAUACACUUUCAAAGAGUCGGAUUGUUUGGGAAUGCAGUCCAAAAUGGGUGGUAAAUUUCAUCUAAAGCUAAAUAUUGGCGAGAGACCGAUAGCGAACAAGUACCGUGAGGGAAAGAUGAAAAGAACUUUGAAAAGAGAGUUAAACAGUACGUGAAAUUGUCAAAAGGGAAGCGUUUGACACCAGUGUUGUUUUUCUGAAAAUCAAUUAAAGAACUGUUUAUGCUAAGCUGUCUAGACUUUAUCAGCUAUCUGUUUAGUUUUGAGCUUUUCUUUAAUGCACUUUUCAGUUAACAAGUCAACAUCAAUUUCUUUUGCUGUAAAAAAGCUUGAGGAAGGUGGCUUGAGAUUCGUCUUAAGUGUUUAUAGCCUCUUGCCUAUGCAGUCGGAGAGAUUGAGGUCUGCAGCGUAGAUCCUUCGGGGCUAAAUGCAUUUGUGCUAAGUUAUAGCAUUUCAUAGACAACUUGUUGACUAUGAUUUGUCUUGUAGCUUACUCGCUUAUGUUAUUUUACCUACGCUUAGGAUGUUGAAUCUGUGCGAGACUAC